rnacentral:tRNA from 1 species
GGACCCUUAGCUCAGUUGGUUAGAGCGUUUCCUUGACAUGGAAAAGGUCGUUGGUUCGAGUCCAAUAGGGUCCACCA